rnacentral:rRNA from 1 species
GUCCACGCCCUAAACGAUGUCUACUGGUUGUUGGGAUUUCGAUCCUUAGUAACGAAGCUAACGCGAGAAGUAGACCGCCUGGGGAGUACGGCCGCAAGGUUAAACUCAAAGGAAUUGACGGGGCCCGCACAAGCGGUGGAUGAUGUGGAUUAAUUCGAUGCAACGCGAAAACCUUACCUGGUCUUGACAUGUCUAGAAUCCCUUAGAGAUAGGGGAGUGCCGCAAGGAACUAGAACACAGGUGCUGCAUGGCUGUCGU